rnacentral:rRNA from 1 species
UAGGGAAUCUUCCACAAUGGGCGAAAGCCUGAUGGGGCAACGCCGCGUGUGUGAUGAAGGGUUUCGACUCGUAAAACACUGUUGUAAGAGAAGAAUGACAUUGAGAGUAACUGUUCAAUGCGUGACGGUAUCUUACCAGAAAGGAACGGCUAAAUACGUACCAG